UAACACAUGUGCUUGGGACUAAGGUUAUUGUAACACAUUGGGGACUAAGGUUAUUUUAACACAUGUGCUUGGGACUAAGGUUAUUGUAACACAUUGGGAACUAAGGUUAUUUUAACACAUGUGCUUGGGGCUAAUGUUAUUGUAACACAUUGGGGAUUAAGGUUAUUUUAACACAUGUGCUUGGGACUAAGGUUAUUGUAACACAUUGGGGACAAAGGUUAUUUUAACACAUGUGCUUGGGGCUAAUGUUAUUGUAACACAUGUGCUUUGGACUAAUGUUAUUGUAACACAUGUGCUUGGGACUAGUGUUAUUGUAACACAUGUGCUUGGGACUGAGGUUAUUGUAUCACAUGUAUUUGGGACUAAGGCAUUUUAACACAGGUGUUUGGGACCAUGGUUAUUUUAACACAUAUGCUUGGGACUUUGGGUUUCCUUCAUUUUAGUCUGUGCUUCAGGUAUUUUUAAUACAUUUAGUUAUUAUUUUAGUCUGUGCUUCAGGUAUUUUUAAUACAUUUAGUUAUUAUUUUAGUCUGUGCUUCAGGUAUUUUUAAUACAUUUAGUUAUUAUUUUA